rnacentral:rRNA from 1 species
AUUGAACGCUGGCGGCAGGCCUAACACAUGCAAGUCGAGCGGUAGCACAGGAGAGCUUGCUCUCUGGGUGACGAGCGGCGGACGGGUGAGUAAUGUCUGGGAAACUGCCUGAUGGAGGGGGAUAACUACUGGAAACGGUAGCUAAUACCGCAUAACGUCGCAAGACCAAAGAGGGGGACCUUCGGGCCUCUUGCCACCAGAUGUGCCCAGAUGGGAUUAGCUAGUAGGUGGGGUAACGGCUCACCUAGGCGACGAGCCCUAGCUGGUCUGAGAGGAUGACCAGGCACACUGGAACUGAGACACGGUCCAGACUCCUACGGGAGGCAGCAGUGGGGAAUAUUGCACAAUGGGCGCAAGCCUGAUGCAGCCAUGCCGCGUGUAUGAAGAAGGCCUUCGGGUUGUAAAGUACUUUCAGCGGGGAGGAAGGUGCUGAGGUUAAUAACCUCAGCAAUUGACGUUACCCGCAGAAGAAGCACCGGCUAACUCCGUGCCAGCAGCCGCCGUAAGAC